CUUGUGUACUGAAUUGUAAUACAAACUGUAUUCAUAUUGUAGAUCAUCAUCAAAAUAGUUUGAAAGCCAUUGUUGUAGAUCCUCUAUGUAGCCUCAGUUCCCAUGUUUCUUCAGUCACAGCUUGAUAAAACUCCAUCAAGCCUCUUGCAGUUACCCAUUGUUUGCUUCAGUGCCUAUGGUUGUAUAAACCAGAUGUGGUGCUAGGAUCUAGGGAUGCAACAGUAAGCAUACCCAAGGUCCUGCUUACAUGGCACUUAAGAAUCUGGAGAAACAGACAAAUAUUACACUAACCACACUAAUAUAUAACCGAGAACCAAGCUAAGUGGUCUAAAUGAAAGAAAUGGUUUUUCAAAACACGUAUCAAAGGCAAUUUAUCUAGUCCAGGGCUUCAAAGGAGGCAUUCCUGAAGAUUCAAUCAGCAGACCUAAAGACUAUGUAAGAAUUAACUCUGUAAAAUGAGGGAGGAAGAGCAUUCCACAUAUAAUACAAUGUUAAGAGCCUCUGUGAUGAGAGAAGGCAGCUGUGUUUGACAAACUUUUCAGGGCCAGCAUGCUAGGACCCAACGAACAAGUAGGAAAGUGACACAAGAUGAGACUAGGAAAGCUGGCAGUGGCCAGAUCCUUUAGGGUCUUAUGGGCCUGGAGUUUGUUUUAUGGCCUCAAAUUAAUGGGAAGCCAAACAAGAGACGAUGAGAUGGAAGUUAUCUGCAGUGUGGAAGAUGGAGGAAAGAAUGCCUGCAGGAAGACCAGUUAGGAAGCCCUCAGAAUAAUUUUGGUGAGUGGUGACGGUGAACUAAUAUACUGGAAACAGACAAAGGGGAGAAAAGCUGGUGGUUGUGAAACAGAGGCUGACUUAGGCUUCUGGCUCACGCAACUGGAUGGAUGGUGUUACCAGCUGGAGAGAGUAAACUAGAAGAGACUAGGUUUGGAGAAGAUUAUGGAGUUAGUCUUGGAGCUGCAUUUAAAGUGACUCUGAGGUGGAUAUGUAAGUCAUAAGCUCAGAAUCAAUAUCCUAAGACAGAGAGGUCAUGAGUUUAUAGAUGGUAAGUGAAACUGGGUAUACAUGUGAGAAAAAUGCCUGGGUUUGAGCCAUGAAGGCUUAACCACAAAUUUACCCACUUCUGGGUAAAUUCUUAGCACAAACGUGUAUAUACAUACACAUUAACCACACACCUGUUUACUUUUUUAAAGUUCAAAUAAAGAAAUAAUAAAAUGUGAAAGUUUGCUCACUCUGGGUAAUCAGCAACUCAAUAUGUACCUUUGUAAUUUAAAAAUAAAAAUGGGAUUAUGCCAUAUAUACUUUGCUACAAUCUGCUUUGUAAGAUAUUCUUCUAUACUAGGGUAUACACAGUUCUAUCCUAUUCAUUUGAAUGGCUAGAAAGUAUUACAUAGUAGGGAUGCAUCACAAUUUAAGCAACCCCUAGUCCCCACUGAUGGACAGGUACGUUAUCUAGCACAGUUACCUACCUGCCCCAUUCAACAUCCACUGCCCCCUUCUGCUUGGUUCACUGAAUGUAUUUCAUUCCAAUGGCAACAUUCUCAGCUGCAGGUGAUGGUUCAUGACUGGCUUAAGCCAAAUGUGACCAUCUUGUUGGCUACUUUUAUAGCAUCUCUUCUAUGGGUAGCCAUGCUAUCCGGUUCUGGCUAAUGACCCCAAGAAGUCAGCUUCUGAGUAAGCUAUUGUUUUCCUAAAAAAAGAGAACUAACACUACACUCU
ensembl:lncRNA